AUGUAGCAAUACAUGUUGAUGGCGAGUGGCGGACGGGUGAGUAAUGCAUAGGAAUCUACCCAGUAGCGGGGGACAACUUAGGGAAACUUAAGCUAAUACCGCAUACGCCCUACGGGGGAAAGCAGGGGAUCUUCGGACCUUGCACUAUUGGAUGAGCCUAUGUCUGAUUAGCUAGUUGGUGGGGUAAAAGCCUACCAAGGCGACGAUCAGUAGCUGGUCUGAGAGGACGACCAGCCACACUGGGACUGAGACACGGCCCAGACUCC
rnacentral:rRNA from 2 species